CCUACGGGAGGCAGCAGUGGGGAAUAUUGCACAAUGGGGGAAACCCUGAUGCAGCGACGCCGCGUGAGUGAAGAAGUAAUUCGUUACGUAAAGCUCUAUCAGCAGGGAAGAAAAUGACGGUACCUGAGUAAGAAGCCCCGGCUAACUACGUGCCAGCAGCCGCGGGAAUACGUAGGGGGCAAGCGUUAUCCGGAUUUACUGGGGGUAAAGGGAGCGGAGACGGUGCGCCAAGUCUGGAGUGAAAUGCCGGAGGUUAACUGCGGAACUGCUUUGGAUACUGGCGAACUAGAGUGCGGGAGAGGUAAGCAGAAUUCCUAGUGUAGCGGUGAAAUGCGUAGAUAUAAGGAGGAACACCGGUGGCGAAGGCGGCUUACUGGACCGUAACUGACGUUGAGGCUCGAAAGCGUGGGGAGCAAACAGGAUUAGAUACCCUUGUAGUC
rnacentral:rRNA from 1 species